rnacentral:rRNA from 1 species
AUGUUUUGCAUGGCAAAUUGCAAUGAGAAUUCUUAUAUUGCCAACUAUAGAAAGAUGGGGAAACCAAUAGAAUAUAAAAGGAAUACUGAUGAAAGGGUAAAGAUUUCUUCUUUCCCUCCUAUUGUCUCUCAUGAUGAAAUAGGUGACGCGGAGGAGCUCUCUAUUCAACCUGUCUCAUCAAUAAGAAGCUCGAAGAAAUUAAUUAAACCCACACCUGAUGUGGUGAAGAAGAAAAGAAGAAAGAAAAGAGGUAAAAAGGUAUCCCUCCCAAAUAAUGUUGCUCCUAUUAUUUUUGUGCCUCAUGAAAAUGAAUCAAAAAUAAUUGUAGAAGACGAUGCACUUGAUGAUGAUAUUGCUUCUUUGUCUUAUGGCACAAUGUCCGAGAGCAUUGUUGAUGAUGAUUUUGUUAUGCCUAUUGCUUAUUGUGAUGAUUAUGAUUGA